GUUGAAUGAUGCAUCAACAUAUUCAGUUCUGCUUCUGUAAUCAUCGUUGAAGAUAACCUAUACCUUACCAAAACUCUUCUGACUC
rnacentral:snoRNA from 1 species